rnacentral:rRNA from 1 species
UGGGGAAUUUUGGACAAUGGGGGCAACCCUGAUCCAGCCAUCCCGCGUGUGCGAUGAAGGCCUUCGGGUUGUAAAGCACUUUUGGCAGGGAAGAAACAGCCUGGGCUAAUAUCCCGGGCGACUGACGGUACCUGCAGAAUAAGCACCGGCUAACUACGUGCCAGCAGCCACGGUAAUACGUAGGGUGCAAGCGUUAAUCGGAAUUACUGGGCGUAAAGCGUGCGCAGGCGGUUCGGAAAGAAAGGUGUGAAAUCCCAGGGCUUAACCUUGGAACUGCACUUUUAACUACCGGGCUAGAGUACGUCAGAGGGGGGUAGAAUUCCACGUGUAGCAGUGAAAUGCGUAGAGAUGUGGAGGAAUACCGAUGGCGAAGGCAGCCCCCUGGGAUGAUACUGACGCUCAUGCACGAAAGCGUGGGGAGCAAAC